rnacentral:lncRNA from 1 species
CUUGUGAUAGUUUGCUGAGAAUGAUGGUUUAAAAAAAAAAGGAAUUUAAAACUCAACAGUUAUGAAGGGUGGCUGAAACAAAGACUAAUGAUUUGGGGGCUUGAUACUCUAUGUAGUUACUUGUUUCUGAAUGUAUGCUAAGAUUCACCCAGCUCAAACUGUCUUUCCUUUAAAGUAAAUGAAAUGUCUUUAAAGUAAAUGAAAUGUCUUUAAAGUAAAAGUAACGUCUUUCCUUUAAAGUAAAGAAAAAAAAAAUACCCAGGAAACUUAGCUCUUAAUUUUCUUUUUUUUUGGAAAUGUAGAGUAUAGUAAAAACAAUCUGGCAUUGACUCUUCCCUGCGCCAUAUAUUAUGUUUGUGGUUUGUGAACUUUUCUAAGUCUUAGAUGUCUCACCUCUGAAAUGGAGUUGGUAAUAUUUGCCUUACAGGGUUACUUUUAGUUUUGGAAAUCCUAUUUUCAACGCUCAUAGCACUGCUCAGUUAUAUGAAAAUUUGUCAUGAAUUUUAUUUUCUACGCAAUGCAUUGAGUAUGUUAUUGUUCAUAAAUUAAAUUUGCUGUGACUGUAAUUCAGGUGAUCUGGCUCUUUGGCAGCCACAUGCUUGAAUGCUUGAUUUUGCUUUUUACAAUGGUUCAUACUGAUUGCCAAACUACUAAAAAUGCUGCUGUAGUAAUUGGUACUGCUGUUUGGAUUUUAUUUUUUUCUGUUACCAGCAAAACUUCUGUUUUUAGAAGCAAUAUUUAUAGAAUGAACUGGCCGUUAAUCUAUAUUCUAUUCAGCGAAAUUAGAUUUUUAAUGGCUGUUUGCUGAAAAUCUUCCCUGAAGAGCUGGGCACAAUAGAGAUACUGAUAACAGUAUCUCAUGUUGGACAUUUUACAAUGCGAAUGUUUUAAUGAGGAUGCAAGUGCGAUUGAAUUUUAACUAGAGAUAAGCUAUUGUUUUAUUUUAGCAAGUCACUUGUACAUUUGCCUGAAAUAUGCAAAUACAUAUUUUGGUCCAAAAUAGUUUUGUAUAUUGGAAUACGUUCUUGCUUUCUACCACAUAGUAAUAGAACUUGUCACUUUAAGAUUUUUUAUUAGUUCAUCCAGUUCUCUCUCCCCGUGUGUGUAGAUGUGAUAGGGAAAGUAAAUAACUGAGUCCUUCAUAAAAUUAUCACAGACUCUAGAUGUUAGGUCAGAAGACCAAAGAUAACCAGUUUGGAGCUCAUUGUGCCUACUAUUGGUCAAAGCGAAACCUGGGCCAAAUAGCCUGGUAACUCCAGGCCAUUCUGGCAAAGUGCAAAAAACAGUGAGCCCAGCAUGUUCCACCCAGCUUUGUGUCCGCAGCGAGGCUUCUGGAAUCAUAGAGCUGCAAGCUUCCGAGGGACAGCUCUCUUUGUGGACAGCUCUCACGCACAGCUGGGCCAGUCUAAGUCUGAUACCAAUGGAAGUUUUGGACCCAGAGCUGUUCUCCCUCACCUGAGGCAUCUUUACUGGCUGUGGCUGGCUCUACCAGAUGCCUUCCCCCUUUACAGUAAAUCUCUCUCUGGGAUGUUUUGUCCUUUUAACAGUCAGGCUUCCACCAGGGUCCCCCAGUGUAUCCAGAAUGCCCAUAAUGUCUGAUCCCCAACAGUGGACUCAGUUGAAGCCUUUCUGGCCUGGUCAGUUGAUAUUUAUGUGGGUGACCAGAGAUCCCAAUUCCACCGAUCAGAGUUUUGUACCCAAGUCCUAGAUUCUCUCUGUUAAUCCUCAGCAGUCCCUCAAAGAAAGUACUAUCCCCAUUUCAAAUAUUCAAAAAGUGAGGAGUUGAGAAGUUACUUUAACUCCUUAAGGACUAAGAGGUAUUAUGUGGCUGUGCUGGGAUUUGACUCUAGCAGCGCUUGACUCCAGAGUAUGGUUGACUUCAGUUUGCAACUAAUGCCUUAAUCCACGCUGUGAUUGAUCAGCUGCUAAAACAUAGGAACAAUAGGAUAACAAAAAGUGACAGGCUACCAAUGCAAAAGCUUCACACUCCUUACCUGCAUAUCGAAGAAAAGGGCUUCAAAGAGACUCAGGACUGAGUGGUUAUGGAGACGGUGUAACAUCCCACCGACACUGUGUGACGAAGGUUUCAAGGAAACCGUUCUCUUCUACCGUGUCCAUGCGCUGUGAGGCCGUUGAGAGUGUUUCCUGAGAUUUCUGCAGCACGACACAGUGGGCCACAAAUGCUCCCUUUUCUGUGUCAUUUGCUCUCUUCAUUGAUAAAGGACACUCAUCCUUCCUGUUU